GUUAUUUAUUUAUCAUCAGUUGUAGCAGUUCUUUAUGUAUUCUGGAACCAAGUCUAUUGGAUUCCAAAUACGGUAUUUUCUUUGUAUAUAUGGUAAAUAGAAUACUUUCUCUUUUAAGUCAUAAGAUAUAUUUUAAGAUAUUAAAUGACUAAAAUUAUUUAGGUCAUAAGUUAAAUAUUUUUUUCCUGUGGUGGUAUUUUUUAAUCCCUUCUUUCCACCUAGUCACUUUUUGGAAUAUCUGUAGCAAUAAUAGUAGGAACAGUAGAUGUGCCUUUGGAGUGAAAAUAAAUAGCCAUUUAAAACAUAGGCCUUUAUCAACAUUUAGUUCUUUCAAUUAGGAAAUGGAGAAUGAAUGUUUGAGUUUUUAAGGGGAAUUAAUUGAAUGAUAUUUUAUCAUUUAAGAUGAAAUCAUAACACUAGACACAUAGUUGUAUGUUUUAGGAGGAAAUUUAGUUUUUCUAUCUGUGCUUCUCAUGAAUAGGAGCACUUCUUGAGUACUCUGGGGUGAUUUAAGCCCUUUCCCACCAACUGUAGUCCGUUUGCUUUAUUAAUAUUUAUUUAUUUAUUUUUGAGACAGAGUCUCACUUUUUCACCCAGUGCACUCUGACCUGGGUGACAGAGUGAAACCCUGUCUUAAAAAACAAAACAAAAUCCAAAUAUUUACACCUGUGUCAUCACCACCCAGAUCAUUGUUUAGAAUAUUUCCGCCACCUUAGAAAGUUUUGUCAUGCCUUUUUUUUCAGUCAGUCCCU
rnacentral:lncRNA from 10 species